rnacentral:rRNA from 1 species
UACGUAGGCGGAUAAAUAAGUUAGUGGUGAAAUCCCGAAGCUCAACUUCGGAACUGCCAUUAAAACUGUUUAUCUUGAAUUUGGUUGAAGUGGGCGGAAUAUGACAUGUAGCGGUGAAAUGCAUAGAUAUGUCAUGGAACACCAAUAGUGAAGACAGCUCACUAAGCCAACAUUGACGCUGAGGUACGAAAGCAUGGGUAGCGAACAGGAUUAGAUACCCUGGUAGUCC